GAUCAUGGUCAGAUUGAACGCUGGCGGCAGGCCUAACACAUGCAAGUCGAGCGGAUGAAAGGAGCUUGCUCCUGGAUUCAGCGGCGGACGGGUGAGUAAUGCCUAGGAAUCUGCCUGGUAGUGGGGGACAACGUUUCGAAAGGAACGCUAAUACCGCAUACGUCCUACGGGAGAAAGCAGGGGACCUUCGGGCCUUGCGCUAUCAGAUGAGCCUAGGUCGGAUUAGCUAGUUGGUGAGGUAAUGGCUCACCAAGGCGACGAUCCGUAACUGGUCUGAGAGGAUGAUCAGUCACACUGGAACUGAGACACGGUCCAGACUCCUACGGGAGGCAGCAGUGGGGAAUAUUGGACAAUGGGCGAAAGCCUGAUCCAGCCAUGCCGCGUGUGUGAAGAAGGUCUUCGGAUUGUAAAGCACUUUAAGUUGGGAGGAAGGGUUGUAGAUUAAUACUCUGCAAUUUUGACGUUACCGACAGAAUAAGCACCGGCUAACUCUGUGCCAGCAGCCGCGGUAAUACAGAGGGUGCAAGCGUUAAUCGGAAUUACUGGGCGUAAAGCGCGCGUAGGUGGUUCGUUAAGUUGGAUGUGAAAUCCCCGGGCUCAACCUGGGAACUGCAUCCAAAACUGGCGAGCUAGAGUAUGGUAGAGGGUGGUGGAAUUUCCUGUGUAGCGGUGAAAUGCGUAGAUAUAGGAAGGAACACCAGUGGCGAAGGCGACCACCUGGACUGAUACUGACACUGAGGUGCGAAACCUUGGGGAGCAAACAGGAU
rnacentral:rRNA from 1 species